rnacentral:tRNA from 1 species
GGAGAGGUGCCGGAGUGGUCGAACGGGCCGGUCUCGAAAACCGGAGUACGGGUAACCGUACCGUGGGUUCGAAUCCCACCCUCUCCGCCA